UUUUGAGAGGGGUGGGAGGAAGGAUGGGGGAACACCUCUCCCUCUCCCUCUUGGGGACAUCAGCCUUCCUCUCACAGAGAAAUGCCUCUCCUUGACAGGUUUUCCAUCCUUAGUGCUCAGUAUAUAUUGUGCAGAGUCAAGUGGAGAAGUGAUGGAUCUGCACAUUGAAACUUCAGUGCAAAGGAAGUGGAACAAACUCUUUCUGAGUCCAACUCCUUCAAUUUCAGAGGUCUUCCAGCAGCCAAUGGUGCCAUUCCCCUGAAUUCUGAAGAAUGAUGCCAUGUUCAACCAACUGCAGAAGCAAGAGGUGGAAGAGUGGUGCUGUGGGAACGGAUUUGAAGGGAGCUUGGAAGAGACAGAAUUGCAGCUUGCUUGUAGGUGUGGCAAGGAGAGGAGGCUGCAUUACCAGCCAUGGACCUUUUCUUCAGAGUCGAGAUUAUUAUUUAGUCAGAAUCAUGAUCCCUUCUGUCCUUGGUGCAGAACGCAGUUGAAGCCUUUCCCAACAAGUAAGUUAUUUAAAGCUUGAGGAUAUUUUAGGGAACAUUAUUUCCCAUGGAGUUCAGUUUUUCUGGAAGGUGAG
ensembl:lncRNA